UAGCCGUAAACGAUACUCGCUAGGUGUCGGCCGCGGUGCGACCGUUGUCGGUGCCGUAGGGAAGCCGUGAAGCGAGCCACCUGGGAAGUACGGCCGCAAGGCUGAAACUUAAAGGAAUUGGCGGGGGAGCACCACAACGGGUGGAGCUUGCGGUUUAAUUGGAUUCGACGCCGGAAAUCUUACCGGGACCGACAGCAACAUGAAGGCCAGGCUGAAGACUUUGCCGGAUUAGCUGAGAGGAGGUGCAUGGCGUAGUCGUGU
rnacentral:rRNA from 1 species